rnacentral:rRNA from 1 species
UACGUAGGGGGCUAGCGUUGUCCGGAAUCAUUGGGCGUAAAGAGCGUGUAGGCGGUCCGGUAAGUCCGCUGUGAAAGUCGGGGGCUCAACCCUCGAAUGCCGGUGGAUACUGUCGGGCUAGAGUGCGGAAGAGGCGAGUGGAAUUCCUGGUGUAGCGGUGAAAUGCGCAGAUAUUGGGAGGAACACCAGUGGCGAAGGCGGUCCCCUGGGCCGGAACUGACGCUGAGGCGCGAAAGCGUGGGUAGCAAACAGG